UACAGCCAUAUCAUAUUUAUUUACUAGUUCCCGUACGAUCACCAAAGUUAAGCAACGUCGAGCCAGGUCAGUACGUAGAUGGGUGACCUGUUU